rnacentral:rRNA from 1 species
AUUGAACGCUGGCGGCAUGCCUUACACAUGCAAGUCGAACGGUAGAGGGGGCAACCCCUCGAGAGUGGCGAACGGGUGAGUAAAGCAUCGGAACGUGCCCAGUAGUGGGGGAUAGCCCGGCGAAAGCCGGAUUAAUACCGCAUGAGACCUACGGGUGAAAGGGGGGGAUCGCAAGGCCUCUCGCUAUUGGAGCGGCCGAUGUCAGAUUAGGUAGUUGGUGGGGUAAAGGCCUACCAAGCCGACGAUCUGUAGCUGGUCUGAGAGGACGACCAGCCACACUGGGACUGAGACACGGCCCAGACUCCUACGGGAGGCAGCAGUGGGGAAUUUUGGACAAUGGGCGAAAGCCCGAUCCAGCCAUGCCGCGUGCGGGAAGAAGGCCUUCGGGUUGUAAACCGCUUUUGUCAGGGAAGAAAUCCUUUGAGUUAAUACCUCGGGGGGAUGACGGUACCUGAAGAAUAAGCACCGGCUAACUACGUGCCAGCCGCCGCGGUAAAAC